rnacentral:lncRNA from 1 species
AGGAGAUGUAAAGUAAUUAGCUUUCAUUUUGGUGGACGGAGCUAGCAUUCCUGUGUUCUCUGCCUAAUGCCAUGUGGUUUCCACUGUUCUGAAUCCAUCUCAGAGCUGAAGGAAUGUGCUUAUAGAGAAGGCUCAUCUAGAGGAGUUUCUGAAAUGCUGAGGUCACACUCCAGACUACAUCUCAACAUUUCAAAUUCAUGCCUGUGGACCAGCAAGCUCUUCCUUGAAGACACGAAGAGCCCUGGGCAGGUGUAUCCAAGCUGUACUUUGGACAGAAGCCUCAUCUUGAUUAUCCAAGACAGCAACACACCCGCACUUUACUUGACAGAGAACCCACAUGUCUCUCUUUUAAGGUUGGAAAAAACACAAACUUCCGUGGAAUGCCAAAUAUCUGUAUGUAUGAAAAUUGAUGAAGCUUAA